rnacentral:rRNA from 1 species
CACUGCCGAGAAAAGCCUCUAGAUAGAAAAUAGGUGCCCGUACCGCAAACCGACACAGGUAGUCAAGAUGAGAAUUCUAAGGUGAGCGAGCGAACUCUCGUUAAGGAACUCGGCAAAAUGACCCCGUAACUUCGGGAGAAGGGGUGCUCUUUAGGGUUAACGCCCAGAAGAGCCGCAGUGAAUAGGCCCAAGCGACUGUUUAUCAAAAACACAGGUCUCUGCUAAACCGUAAGGUGAUGUAUAGGGGCUGACGCCUGCCCGGUGCUGGAAGGUUAAGAGGAGUGGUUAGCUUCUGCGAAGCUACGAAUCGAAGCCCCAGUAAACGGCGGCCGUAACUAUAACGGUCCUAAGGUAGCGAAAUUCCUUGUCGGGUAAGUUCCGACCCGCACGAAAGGCGUAACGAUUUGGGCACUGUCUCAACGAGAGACUCGGUGAAAUCAUAGUACCUGUGAAGAUGCAGGUUACCCGCGACAGGACGGAAAGACCCCGUGGAGCUUUACUGUAGCCUGAUAUUGAAAUUCGGCACAGCUUGUACAGGAUAGGUAGGAGCCUUUGAAACGUGAGCGCUAGCUUACGUGGAGGCGCUGGUGGGAUACUACCCUAGCUGUGUUGGCUUUCUAACCCGCACCACUUAUCGUGGUGGGAGACAGUGUCAGGCGGGCAGUUUGACUGGGGCGGUCGCCUCCUAAAAGGUAACGGAGGCGCUCAAAGGUUCCCUCAGAAUGGUUGGAAAUCAUUCAUAGAGUGUAAAGGCAUAAGGGAGCUUGACUGCGAGACCUACAAGUCGAGCAGGGUCGAA